AUGAGCAAGAAAAUGGUGUUUUAAAAAAUGAACAGGAAAACGAAACAAAUGAAAAAGCCACUGAAAACAAUAACAUGCAAUUUAACAUAACUUUAACUGUACAAGAUAUAGAUAACAAACUUUCGAUUACUGAUUUUACAAAUGUAAAUGAAGAUAUAAAAAAAGAAAAAAAUUUAUUAAUAAAAUAUAAAACACCUAAAAUGAAUGAAAAUAGACAGUUUUUUGUGAAAAUAAUGUUAGGAACUAUUGCAGAUAUAACUAAUUACGACUCGAAAUUAAGUGAAGAAGAAACACCUAUAACUAAUAGUAUAUCGUUAAAUAAAUUACAACAAGAAGUAAAAAAAAUAUUUGGGGCUUCUUUUAAUUUAAGAGCAUUACAAAUACGUUGUGGCAUUAAUAAAUUACAAAACUUUUUGGAAGAAAUACAAGAAAUACAAUUAUUACCAGUUUCAAAUGAAAUUAAACUUAGAAUAACACCAAAUACAUAUGAUUAUAAAAUACCCAAUUUAAAAUAUAUUAAAUCAUUUAGUUUUUCAGAACUAAAAUUUAAAACAUCUUCUUUUAGAAUGAAUAGUAAAAAAUUUGGAAGUGGUACAAUUAGUACCAACAAUUCUAAUAAUCUACUUGAAAAAAACGCAAGUACAACUUUUACUUAUAGUGUUGAAAACAUAAUUAAUGAUUACAAUAUAAAAAAAAAAAAAUACGUUCGAUAAUAUGCAAAUGAUGAAAAAUAUAGAUUAUAACAAAAAUUUGAAGUCAAAACAAUUAUCUAUGUAUAAUAACAAUACGAACACAAUUGGUACUUCUCCCGUUAUUACUACAAAUAACAAUAUUGGGACAUUAUCAUCUUUUUCACCAUCUUUUUCAAAAUCAUAUGAACAGAAUUUAAAAAAUCUUCUACUCGGUAACAAUAUAAAUGAAUAUUCAAAUAAAUUAGAUUUAAAUUUAUUACAAAAAAUAAAUAAUUACAAUGUAGGAUAUAAUACUAAUAAUAACAACACUAAUACAACAGUUAUUAAUGAAAAUAUUACUGGAAAUAGUAAUAAUAACAAUAUAUUACCCAAAAUACUAUCAAAAAUGAAGUUACAUAUUCUAUUGUUUCAACUGAUUGUUAUUCUUUCGGAAAUUGAAAAGGCAGAAUGGAAUGAGAUCAGUCGAAUCAAACAGCAAAUUAUGAAUCAGGGUGAUAAGUCACAAAAGAACAGUGAAGACAAAGAGUCCCCCACGGAAAAUGCAAUAAGCAUGGAAAAAAGUAUAACGACUAAAACCAUGCUUGUUGAAGAUGAUAAAAAUAAUAAGGACGAAAAGGAUAUAACAGCAAACCAUGAAAUUGAUCGAAAAAAAACAGACAUUUUAGACGUAUUAAACAAUACUAGUACAACUGCUUCAUCUGAUUAUUUAAAUGAAACAUAUAAAACAUUAGAUACACCUAAUUUUUACCAAUCAGAAAUUUUAUCAAAUGAUAAAUAUACAAAAAAUAUAUUUUUUUUAGAUUCUAACGAAGAACCAAUUGAAACUAAUGAUCAACUAAUUGGAGUUUUGGUUUCUUCAAUUAAAAGUGAAUGGAAUAAAAUAUAUUCAGAUCAAUACCCUUUAAGUUUUUAUUUAAAUUAUUAUAAAACUAAAAAGUUAAGAAAGUUGUUAGAAGAAGUACCAAAUUUAAUUAUGUCUGGAUAUGGUCGAACUAUGCAGAUUUUUACUUUGGAUGCAGCACAAAAAUAUUAUGACAGCUUAUUAACAAAUAAAACGGACAAUUUGAAGAUUUUGACCAAAUCAAAGUUUACCUCCUUAAGCAAUUCCAUUUUUUUCAAGGAUGUUACAUAUAAGGAUAUCGUCGAUGCAUUUAUGAAAGAAGAACCAGUCGAUGUUUUAAAUAUUCUAGAAAUGAGUAAAUCUAAACCUUUUUUUGGAAGUGGAAUGAAUAAAAACUAUUAUAAUAAAAAUAUGUACAAUAAAAACAGAAGUGAUAAUUUUGGUUAUAUUGAUGAUUUUAGAGAUAAUAUGAAUAUAAACCAGUUAGGUGGUAGAGUUAACCAUAUGAACAGUAGUAAUUUAAACGAUGAUAAUAUUUAUAGAUUUGAUACUUUUGAAAAAAAAAAUUAUAAUCCGAUGAGAAAUAAUGACAAUAUACAAAUGCUAAGAUACCAUUUACAUAAGUUACUUUAUAAUUUAGUUAUACAUAUAUGUAAAAAACAAAAUUCUUUAUUUUUAAAAUAUAAAGAUAAUGGUAUCAUAUUAAGUGAAUAUGAAAUAAAUAAACAACUAUGUGGUCCGGUAUAUUACUCUAGUGAUUUAACAUAUGAUGAUUUUAUAACUACAAAAAAAACAUUUUUUCAAAAAGAAGAAAUUACUAAAAAUGUUUUUUUAUUAUCGCAAUACGGUAUAUAUGGAAUAAAACUAAUACAUCUAACAAAUGAAUGGUUUAAAUUAUAUAAAUGCGAGUUGCGUCCUUUAAUGAAGUUAUGUAAUUAUAAACAGAUAGGUCGAAUGAUUAAUAACAUACCUGAAAUAUUAGUUGUAGGGGAGGGUUUUGACAUGAAGUAUAUCCCAAACACAUGCAGUGACAUACAGGUAAUGUAAUUUAUGCGAAGAUUGUUGUAUGUGUGUUACGCAUACAUACGUGUAUACACACAUAUAUAUACAUACAUACACACAUAUAUAUACAUACAUACACACACACACAGAUAUAUAUAUACAUAUGCUACUACACCGUGCUGUCUUUUAUAGAAAAAAAACUUCAACGGACUAUCUGCGAGACCUCUUACAAAAACACAAUCCGAAAGUACGUUCAAAAAAAAAAAAAAAAAAAAAAAAAAAAAAAAAAAAAAAAAAAAAAAAUGACAACAUUACUGUUAUUAUUUAUUACAUAGUUAUAGCUAUAUGUGAGUGAAUUUUUUUCUUUUUUUUUUUAUUUUCAUACUUUUCAUACUUUUCUACUUUUCUACUUUUCUAC
ensembl:lncRNA